rnacentral:lncRNA from 1 species
CCGUGACCCUUCCUUCAUUAAACAUGAGAAAAUAAUGAUCUUAAAUCUUAAAUGUGAAAUGUGAUGAAAAUAUUUCAAAAGUACACAUGUUCUCCUCCGGUAAAAUGGUGCCUUGACUUCUGCACCCGCUGCUGCGUGUUCAGAGCUUCGAUUCUGGCACCGCUGUCCGGCGGCCGGGACAUGAAGAAACACACGGACCUCUGUGCUCUUUUGCAGGCAAUAAUAUCUACACUGAAGCAGACCGCGGGCCUCCGCAGGCGCGCGCCUCCCGCGAGCCGGAGCCGGAGCCGGAGCUGGAGGACUUCGGCUACUCUGUCCUGCGUUUCCCCGCGGGCCCGUCCUCGAGAGGGACCUGCGCCGCGGCGCGAGGAGGCGGCGAGCCCGCGGCCGCCCGGCAGGCACGCGCUGGAGAGCGGCACGAGGAGGUGGUGUAUUCUCUGUGCGGCCCACAGCGGAGCUGACACGCGUGGACAUCGUGGAAUUCUGCAGGCACAGCUCAGCCACACAAGCCGAGGUUCACGCGUGUACAUUCCGCAGGUAAGACGACGACAGGAAGACCGAGAACGAAGGAAGAAAAGGAGUCAAAAGGAAGGACCGCGGGAACGACUCGCUCACACGCCGCGACGUGUCGCUUCGUCUAGAAAAAGACUGGAUUGUCUCUAUAUAUCGCACCAGCCUCUGUAAACCACGAGUUAUGGAGACAUUUUACAACUCUGGUCGGAUUUCGAUUGUUUAAAUAUGUUCUUGUGUUGAACUUUGAAGUAAACACAUCUAAAACUGAUCGUUUUGUCGUUGAUUGUCUUAACAGCGCGGCGAUGCGAGUUCACAAGACCGUUAAAAUGAACGACAAGCCAGGGAGCCGCUAACGGGAAACGUACCUUUUACUGCUCACGAGAUCAAGGAUAGGUCCGUCAGCCCGCGUGCCACACACGUCCUGAUUUGUUCAAAGUAAGUGUGCGCACGGGCUAAGUAAUUAUAAUUACAAUUUAUUAUAAUAAUGAUAUAUAAUUUAUAAUUAAUACCCCGGCGUCCUGGCCAAAUCUCCCCCCGGCCCUUAACAAACAAGGCCCCCUAAUAAUCCCCAUCUCUGAACUGGCUUCAUCACUCUGCUCUCCUCCCCACUGAGAGCUGGUGUGUGGGGAGAGGACUGGCGCAUCAUCCAGGUGGGGCUGCACACUGGUGCUGGUGGAGGGGAUCCCCAUUACCUGUAAAGCGCUUUGAGUGGGGUGUCCAGAAAAGCGCUAUAUAAGUGUUCUG